GUAUGUAUGGUAUUGAUUUGGGGACAAUAGUGGGACUGGAGCUUGACGUCGAUAUCGUGGCGGCGAACACAACGACAAAGAAGGUGAACGCUGCUUCUGUCUCAUUUUUUAGGACAUUGAGUUGUCCAAAGAAAUAAAUGAUUCAUUCAGGCAAUCAUCUCGAGCUAGGACAAGGCUUCCCUCCAGCAUUGAAAUAAGUGGCCAUCUGCUUACAAUAGGGAAGACAAUCCUGACUUAUUUACUAAUAAAGAAAAAAAUCGAUGAAGUAGAAUCAAUGGAUAUAGGAUUGCUGCUGACUCGUCUUCUAAGCAUGGUGAAGUUGACAUAUCACAUUAGCAAUGAACUAUCAGGGCAGUGAUCAUGAUUUUGUACACUACUUUGGUGUAUCAUCGCCUAAUAAAGUAUCCACAAACUCAUGAGCCUUUUUUCCGGUUCCAGCUGCAGACCCCAAAGCAGAACCUGUAGUUCUAGCAAAUAAGUCUAAAUGGUCACCAGAGCAGGGGCAACACAGGAUCUGACGCCCAUUCUAUGUUGCUGAAGUCGAAGCACAUGUGCUCACAAUCAAAAAGCAUGGAACAAGAAGGCUGGAAUUAACUAAGAGGAGAAAAUUUGAAUGUGCAUGAGCAAUGUAGGCUACUGGCAGUUUUGGUGACUGCAACAGCCAGCAAUGGUCUAAUGCCAUCAAGGGGGUGUCAAGCAAGGCGUUCAUGGUAUUUAGUCCUUAUUGUUUAUGUGGUCGUAGAUUGCUGUGGGUAACACUGAUCGCUUCUAUGCCGCUGCAAGCAAACCGGUGUGUGAGGAGGUUCUGUCAUGCCUACCAAAUUUGUAAGAAGACUCUUCUGGUAUUCCUAGAUCCCUGGCACACUACUGUUUAUUUUAAAAAUUUUAUUGGCACACUAAGGUCUAACACAACAACACCAUCUGUCAACUAUUAACAAAUUCAUGGUGGGAUGACGAUGGUGUGAACUGCAAAGAAGCCUGUGGCCCAACUUCUAGAUCCAGUGGUGCCAAACCUCAAUCAACAUUGUUCAGGAUGUUGUCAGCCAUAUUCAGCAAUAGCAGCAACCCACGACUAAUUUGGCUGCCCAAAAACAUCAGGUGGCACGAGUAGGGAAGAUACAAACAACGUACGUGGCCUGGUUAGCUAUGAGCAUUCUAAAGUCAUCGUAUAUGUGAGACACCAUGGAUUGCAUUUGCAAGUGAACAAAAAACUCUAGAAUUUGAUGGUUCUUGCAUCUCAA